rnacentral:lncRNA from 7 species
AAACAGCUUGGAAAGCACUGCAUUUGGUUAUCAGCUCACAACUGAUCAUGACAGAGUGAGAGAGGUAUUGAACCAGUGAAGAGGCUGAAAACGUAACUCUAGAAGAACAUCUGAAAGCUGAGAAAAGUGUAUAUGUGAAGUCAGAGAUUGCUCCUUUUCUUAUAUAUUUAGACUGCGGUCCAUCUACACCCUCUUUGGAGCUGGUUGUGCAGAGUAUUCCACUUGGCUGGAGUGAUGUAACCAGUGCUGCCUCAUUCCUCCAGGCUCUGUUCCACCACAAAAUGAGAAUUAGAUCUCACUUUUAAGUGAAGUAGGGAGUUGAGGUCUAUUUCUAACUGAAGAAACUUAAUUUCCCAGAUGCAUGUUGAGAUAAAUGCCAUUUGUGCUUGUGCACGCGUGCACCUCCAGCAUUUAUUUUUGCUUUAAAAGAGGUAUUGUACAUUUCAGUAAAUUACAGGUUUUCUUCAGGAGAGUUCAGCAAGUCAACUGUGCUGCCACAACUUCUUAACAAACUGAGUGCAGGUCCUAUAUUUUGUCUGUUAACAAAAUCACACAGGAUUAACAAUAGAACACACUAGCAAAACACAUCCUGUUCACAAUUCUAGCAAAUAAAAGUUGUGGAAUG